UGUAUAUGUGCCACAAUUUCUUAAUCCAGUCUAUCAUUGUUGGACAUUUGGGUUGGUUCCAAGUCUUUGCUAUUGUGAAUAGUGCCACUAUAAACAUACAUGUGCAUGUGUCUUUAUAGCAGCAUGAUUUAUAAUCCUUUGGGUAUAUACCCAGUAAUGGGAUUGCUGGGUCAAAUGGUAUUUCUAGUUCUAUAUCCCUGAGGAAUCGCCACACCAACUUCCACAAUGGUUGAACUAGUUUACAAUCCCACCAACAGUGUAAAAGUGUUCCUAUUUCUCCACAUCCUCUCCAGCGCCUGUUGUUUCCUGACUUUUUAAUGAUUGCCAUUCUAACUGGUGUGAGAUGGUGUCUCAUUGUGGUUUUGAUUUGCAUUUCUCUGAUGGCCAGUGAUGAUGAGCAUUUUUUCAAUUGGCUCAUAGUUCUGCAGGCUAUACAGGAAGCAUGGUGCCGACAUCUGCUUGGCUUCUGGGGAGUCCUCAAGGAGCUUUUACUCAUGGAGGAAGGUGAAGGGUGAGCAGGCAUGUCACAGGACAGAAAUCUGAGCUGGAUGAAGGAUAAUCUACAGGUAUGACACUUCUAACCAAUGGAUCAAGAGUAGACACCAAACUUCAUCUAAGGCUGUAAACAUGCUGGAUGUGGAGGACUCUGAGGUCUUAGAAAAUGAUGAAGAAAUAUAUGAAAGGACCGUGGACCCCAGAAUGACCACGUGGAAUGUUUACUGGUGACCAGGAAUACACAUUUUGAACAUAGGCCUUGGAACUUGCAUUGAAAUACACCAGUGGCUUUCCUCAUUCUCCAGUGUGUCAGUAUAUUGGACUUCUCAGACUCCAUGAUUACAAAGGCAGAAGAAGCUCUCCAGAUGUCUUCCAGUAACGUUGAAGUUUUUAUCAGAAUGUUGCAAGGAAACACCAAUUGGGUCACCUGGGAUGACCUUCAAUGACCUGAAGACAUUUACUGAAGGAGCUGUGUUAAGUUUUUUAACAUCUUCUAUUGAGUAAAAGUGAAAAGCAGCUUUUUACUUGGUUGAAACCAAUUGAGAAAGAAAUUCUAUCAAAUAUCAAGUAUGUGCAUGAACUUUUAAAAAGACAAUUUUAUUGACCUAUAUUGAACUUCAUAAGUUUUGCCUAUUAACAAUAAAGCUACUGUGAGCAUUUUUGUACAAGUCUUUACAGAAAUAUACAGACAUGUGCUUUCAUUUCUUUUGGCUAAGCUAGGAGUGAAAUGGUUGUAUCACAUGUUAGGUGUAUGUUUAGCUCUCAAAAGAACUGCCAAACUUUUUAAAAGAAGUGGCUGUACCGUGUGCAUCAACUUUUUUUUUUUUUUUUAUACUUUAAGUUUUAGGGUACAUGUGCACAUUGUGCAGGUUAGUUACAUAUGUAUACGCUGGUGCGCUGCACCCACUAACUCGUCAUCUAGCAUUAGGUAUAUCUCCC
rnacentral:lncRNA from 10 species